UACGUAGGGUGCGAGCGUUAAUCGGAAUUACUGGGCGUAAAGCGUGCGAAGGCGGUUUUGUAAGCCCGAUGUGAAAUCCCCGGGCUCAACCUGGGAAUGGCAUUUGGGACUGCAAGGCUGGAGUUUGGCAGAGGAGACUGGAAUUCCUGGUGUAGCAGUGAAAUGCGUAGAUAUCAGGAGGAAUACCGAUGGCGAAGGCAGGUCUCUGGGCUAUAACUGACGCUGAGGAGCGAAAGCGUGGGGAGCGAACAGG
rnacentral:rRNA from 1 species